AGAAGCAGACUCCCUGCUGAGCAGGGAGCCUGAUGUGGGACUUGAUCCCAGGACCCUGGGAUCAUGAACCGAGCUGAAGGCAGCCGCUUAACGGACUGAGCCACCCCGGCAUCGUCCCACACAACCAGAUUUUUCUCUCCUGGUCUUGGGAGGACUAGCCCAGUGUGACUGGGUGAGGAUGAAGCCAAGGGCAGGGUGAAGGGCCUCCUUCCUCUCUAACUGGCUGGCCGGUGUUGGGCAAGCCAUGAAACCUCUUAGCCUCCUGCCCCACAUCUGUCCAAUAAAGGAUGAGACUCCGUGACCUGGCUUUGAAGUUAGAAAUCUAGAGGAUCAAAGGAAAGGUGGGGGUCUGGCCCUCAGGUGGGGGUCUGGCCCUCAGGUUUGCGGAGAGAAGGGGCGCUGACGGCUCUGCCCCCGGAGGUGGAGGGCAGGGCUUGGCCCAUUUGGCCCUUAGGAACGGCAGGGAGAACAGAGCUGGGUCAGGCAGGAGGCUCCCUGUGGCCCCGCCCGCUUACCCCCCCACCCCCCCACCCCCGCUGCGGAUGGGGGGGGCGGGUCUGCUAGGUCUUGAAGUCUCCCAGACACUGCUCCCUGUCGUGGGUCACUGAACUGUUGCUGUGUCCCCGGGCACCCCGGGGACGUUCCUGCGCACGUUCUCUGCUUCUGCCAAGCGCUCUGUUAUCUGAACACGGCUGUGGCUUCUGCCUCUGCUUAACCGUGCUCCCUCUCCUGCCAUGCUCUGGCUCUCCACCCCAUGGAUUUCGACACCUCCUCCAGGCUUCCUGCCUCACGGUGAUUUAUCCCUGUGGCUUCUGGAACACUCAGGCAGUGAUGUGAAAGUCUUAUCUUCCUGACCAGCUUGUAGGUUCUCAGAGAGCAAGAGGCAUCUGUGUCCUCCGGGGGUUUUGCUCAGGGCCUGGCACACUGGGUCUGACGAAGUCUUGUUUGUCAGGAAAGAGAGCUACAGAGAAGCAUGAAGAAUAACAUGACGAAUAGCCAUGAAUUUCCACCCAAGUUCCGUAAAUGGUGACCUUCGGUUAUCAUUUCAAGUUUUCUCAACUGAGGAAAACCAUUACGGAUCAGUUGGAAGCACAUCUUGUUCCUUUCCCAGGCCUUUCCCUACCCUCCAGAGAGCCAGCCCCUCCAAUGCAUUCGGCCGAGUCUGCCGCAAACGAGUCACCCCCGAGCCCUUAGAAAGAUGCUCCGAGUCCAGUACCAGAUGAAAACAGGAAGCAUGAGGGGAACCGCUGGCCGGUUCUGGCCUUUCAGAAACUCCUGGGAAAGCCCUUGGGAAGCUGGAAAGCGGAUUGACAGCCGGGGGUCUCCGGAGCCCGGCCCUUUGCCAGAAGAUCAUUCUGGUCCAGCUCAACCUGCGUGACACGGCCAGUAACAAGCCCCUUUAUACUUGGUCUUCGUCGUCCCACGGGUGGGGCUGAAGUCGGGAUCGAGCCGCCCUCCGAGAACAGCUGUCUGAACAGGAAGGUGGUGUAGCGGACACGGCGCCCGUCCUGCCCGGCUGCACCGCCGACUCCUUCUGGGAUCCGAGGCGAGGCCUUCGCUUCUCUGCCGCUGCCGCUUGUCUCUAACGGGAGUAAUCCCCAUCCUUCCCCUGGGUUUGUGGGACGAGAUGACAGAAGUGUAAUGGAACGUGCCUAACAUCUAAGAGGUGUCCAAUAAUCGCCAGUCGACACUGGGAUUUUCUCCCUGUGGGACGGAUGCCCGAACGCCGCCCCAGCCGGCAGCUCACUUCCCCUGGAAGCAGUCCGCUCAUCUUCCACCACUUCUGACGGCUGGAAAGCUCUUUCCUUCUGCUGCGCUGAAAACUCGCUGGCUGUGGCUUCCAGCCCCUGAGACCAGACAACAACCCCCUCCUUCGCUUCCCCAGUCAGAACAGCCUGUGUGAUCAAACUGUGAUCUUGAGCCCUCUCGCCGUUCUGGCCACCUCGGUAGAACGAGCGUAUUUUCUCAGCCACACAUCCUACACACUUGAACUGUAGGUGAAGAUAAGAGUCCGGGUCAAGGUCUGCCUGGCCACGGGCGAGGAAGGCCAAACGUUGGUUAAUACAUUCGGUGGUUACGGGGCGCCUGGGUGGCUCAGUCCUUAAGCAUCUGCCUUUGGCUCAGGGCCUGAUCCCAGGGUCCUGGGAUCGAGCCCUGCAUCGGGCUCCCUGCUCUGCUGGGAGCCUG